GAUGAACGCUGGCGGCGUGCCUAAUACAUGCAAGUCGAGCGAAUCAAUAGGAGCUUGCUCCUGUUGGUUAGCGGCGGACGAGUGAGUAACACGUGGGCAACCUGCCUGUAAGACUGGGAUAACACCGGGAAACCGGUGCUAAUACCGGAUAAUCCUUUUCCUCUCAUGAGGAACAGCUGAAAGUCGGUUUCGGCUGACACUUACAGAUGGGCCCGCGGCGCAUUAGCUAGUUGGUGAGGGAACGGCUCACCAAGGCGACGAUGCGUAGCCGACCUGAGAGGGUGAUCGGCCACACUGGGACUGAGACACGGCCCAGACUCCUACGGGAGGCAGCAGUAGGGAAUCUUCCACAAGGGACGAAAGUCUGAUGGAGCAACGCCGCGUGAGCGAUGAAGGCCUUCGGGUCGUAAAGCUCUGUUGUUAGGGAAGAACAAGUACCGGAGUAACUGCCGGUACCUUGACGGUACCUAACCAGAAAGCCACGGCUAACUACGUGCCAGCAGCCGCCGUAA
rnacentral:rRNA from 1 species